UACGGGGGGGGCAAGCGUUGUUCGGAAUUACUGGGCGUAAAGGGCUCGUAGGCGGCCAACUAAGUCGGACGUGAAAUCCCUCGGCUUAACCGGGGAACUGCGUCCGAUACUGGUUGGCUUGAGUUUGGGAGAGGGAUGCGGAAUUCCAGGUGUAGCGGUGAAAUGCGUAGAUAUCUGGAGGAAUACCGGUGGCGAAGGCGGCAUCCUGGACCGACAUUGACGCUGAACGGCGAAAGCUAGGGGAGCAAACGGG
rnacentral:rRNA from 1 species